rnacentral:rRNA from 1 species
UACAGAGGGGGCAAGCGUUAUUCGGAAUUAUUGGGCGUAAAGGGUGCGUAGGCGGCGUGGUAAGUCGGGUGUGAAAUCUCGGAGCUUAACUCCGAAACUGCAUUCGAUACUGCCGUGCUUGAGGACUGGAGAGGAGACUGGAAUUUACGGUGUAGCGGUGAAAUGCGUAGAUAUCGUAAGGAAGACCAGUGGCGAAGGCGGGUCUCUGGACAGUUCCUGACGCUGAGGCACGAAGGCCAGGGGAGCAAACGGG